GGACUGUAAGCUGGUUUCCUCGUCUGCUGUGUGUUGGCUGCCCACGCCACACAGCAUGGUGUUCCUGACUGAGUUGCUUUACUGCAAGAUGGUGCGCGACUGCAGAGCGGUUUGCGCGGCGGGAUCGUUCUGCGGACUUCCCUGCAUAACUGAGAGCCUCUUGGGCUAGUCGCGAGAGCGUACCAAUGAUGAACUGUGAUCAUGUAUAAUUGCGACUGUGUCGCUGUUUUGCCUCGACGUUUAUCCCCAUAGCAACCGUUGUGACUCUACUAUACGUGGCUACUGGGUAUUGUGUCCACUAUUCCUCUGACUGUGCAACUGGUUGGGCGUUUCAUCUGGCCCCAGUUUAUUCACUUCCACUGGUCUGAAGCACCUCAUAUGUAUGUUUAUUUGGUUUAAUUUAAUGUUAAUGUCAAUGUGUUUUGUGGUAUUGGGUCUUAUUUAUGUGAUGUGGUUAGACCCUUGGAUUAUUUGACAUGUGUUAUUAUUUUGGAUUGUAUUUUUGUUUUGUGUGUUUUCAAUUUUUGUCUGGUUACAGGAGCUAUGGGGUUUCUGGAGGAUGCAAGCAACGUCGCCAUUUGUGUGGUGUAUUCACACUUAGUGCUGUGUGUCUUCUGACAUUUUUAACCCUUCACGUGUGUGUGUGGGUAUUUGUAGUGGAUUAUUUUGGCGAGUAGGUUUCCAAAUUUGGCAGCCGGCCUGGACCUCCAGAUACCUCUGCUCUUGAGAUUCUUAAAAUUGAGAAUUGUUGUGUGUCUUGAGUAGCUUCUUCUUGAUCAUGUUUAAAAUGCCAGUCUAAGUUUUAAAGUGAAAUUUCCAACUAUUUAUAGAAUAUUGACAAAUAAAACUUUUCUAUUUUUCUAUAUUUGACUCAUGUCCUCUCACCCACCCACUCAGAACGAACCUGUGUGCCCUUAGGGCUAUUUCCCUGGGUUUCCAGGGUGGCGUAGUCGAUCAUAUAUUGUCAUCUGGUAACAGUGUGGUAAAUCUUACUCAACUCUAGU